AGCGAACGCUGGCGGCAGGCCUAACACAUGCAAGUCGAGCGCCGUAGCAAUACGGAGCGGCAGACGGGAGAGUAACACGUGGGAACGUACCCUUUGGUUCGGAACAACCCAGGGAGACUUGGGCUAAUACCGGAUAAGCCCUUACGGGGAAAGAUUCAUCGCCGAAGGAUCGGCCCGCGUCUGAUUAGCUAGUUGGUGGGGUAAUGGCCCACCAAGGCGACGAUCAGUAGCUGGUCUGAGAGGAUGAUCAGCCUCACUGGGACUGAGACACGGCCCAGACUCCUACGGGAGGCAGCAGUGGGGAAUAUUGGACAAUGGGCGCAAGCCUGAUCCAGCCAUGCCGCGUGGGUGAUGAAGGCCCUAGGGUUGUAAAGCCCUUUCGGCGGGGAAGAUAAUGACGGUACCCGCAGAAGAAGCCCCGGCUAACUUCGUGCCAGCCGCCGCGGUAACAC
rnacentral:rRNA from 1 species